GAGUUUGAUCUUGGCUCAGAUUGAACGCUGGCGGCAGGCCUAACACAUGCAAGUCGAGCGGAUGAAGGGAGCUUGCUCCUGGAUUCAGCGGCGGACGGGUGAGUAAUGCCUAGGAAUCUGCCUGGGUAGUGGGGGAUAACGUCCGGAAACGGGCGCUAAUACCGCAUACGUCCUGAGGGAGAAAGUGGGGGAUCUUCGGACCUCACGCUAUCAGAUGAGCCCAGGUCGGAUUAGCUAGUUGGUGGGUAAAGGCCUACCAAGGCGACGAUCCGUAACUGGUCUGAGAGGAUGAUCAGUCACACUGGAACUGAGACACGGUCCAGACUCCUACGGGAGGCAGCAGUGGGGAAUAUUGGACAAUGGGCGAAAGCCUGAUCCAGCCAUGCCGCGUGUGUGAAGAAGGUCUUCGGAUUGUAAAGCACUUUAAGUUGGAGGAAGGGCAGUAGUUAAUACCUUGCUGUUUUGACGUUACCAACAGAAUAAGCACCGGCUAACUUCGUGCCAGCAG
rnacentral:rRNA from 1 species